UGCAUAAAGCAAACAGAAGAGAAGGAUAUUGCAAAAUCUCUAAUGUCAUGAAUGAGCUUGAGAAGUCUCCAAGGGAUGCUGAUUCUUCUAUUAAUAGCGUCAAUAACCAGCUUUGAGUCACAUUCCACUUGAAUAUUCUGGUAGCCUUGGUCCUUUAUUUUUUACUAAUUAAGCUGUCUCUUAAAGCUACAACUCCUGCAACUGGAAUAGUUGUCUUCUCUAAUCUUGAUUACAAAGAAGUUGCAUAUAUUUUGAUUAAUACAAGAUCUCAAUACCACACGCGUGUUAGCAGAUUUUACAUUUUUAUAGCGUCGGCCGGAUUGUAGUAAAUGGAUUGUAGUCUGUAGAUAGAAACAGAAAAGUGAGAAAGUACAUUGUAUUGAUCUACAUGUUGCCGUAUACAAAAAAUUUCAUUUAUUUCCCGAUCUAAUCUAUACAACAACAGACAAUGAUAACUACAUAUACCGGUAAAUAGAACUUUACUGGUAGGGGAACAUAAAAAAAUGAUAAGUUACAACCUUAGUUUUCUAACAACCACCACCACCUCCUCCACAACCACCACCACCACCACCACCUCCACCUCCUCCACAACCACCACCGCCACCAACAUCACCACCACCUCCUCCACAACCACCACCGCCACCACCAUCACCACCACCACCACAACCGCCUCCUCCACCACCGCCACCCCUCCUUUUCUUGCUUGAUGAUCCACAAGCAAAUAUGACCAUCGAUAUGAGUGAGAGAGACAUAAGAACCAUGCCAACCAAAAGCAGGCCGCCAGAGUUGUCUGCCAAAAUACUGAGACCUACUCCCACUCCAUGACCACCACCACCAACAACAAAAUAAUUUCUAGCCAUUUUUUGGGUCUCGUUGCGUAACAAUACUUGCCGUAUGAACAAAUACUGUGUAGAAUUAAAAGCGAAGAACAGCUAUAUAUAUAGGAAUUCCAAGCAUACGUAUCACAUGCACCUAUGAGGUGUUGAAGUUUCAAAGCCAUAUUCUUCAAGUAUUUGAAUUGGCAGCUACAGAUUGAAAGGUUGAAGCUUAGACAAGUCUUACAAUUAAGGUGAUCCACAUAUAAGAACAUAUAUAUAUAUAUAUAUAUAUAUAUAUAUAUAUAUAAUGCAAAAUGUACACAUCACAUUUGCUGACAUUC
rnacentral:lncRNA from 1 species